rnacentral:rRNA from 1 species
UGGGGAAUUUUGCGCAAUGGGCGAGAGCCUGACGCAGCAACGCCGUGUGAGUGAUGAAGGCCUUCGGGUCGUAAAGCUCUGUCAGUUGGGAAGAAACGCAUGGAGGUCAAUACCCUUCGUACUUGACGGUACCUGGAGAGGAAGCCCCGGCUAACUCUGUGCCAGCAGCCGCGGUAAUACAGAGGGGGCAAGCGUUAUUCGGAAUUAUUGGGCGUAAAGGGCGCGUAGGCGGUGCUUUAAGUGAGAUGUGUAAUCCCCGAGCUUAACUUGGGAACUGCAUCUCAGACUGAAGCGCUAGAGUACUGGAGAGGGUGGUAGAAUUCCACGUGUAGCGGUGAAAUGCGUAGAGAUGUGGAGGAAUACCGGUGGCGAAGGCGGCCGCCUGGACAGUAACUGACGCUGAGGCGCGAAAGUGUGGGUAGCAAACA